GCAGUGAAAAAUUGAUCUGUGACAAAACUUGUGUAAAAAACUUUAAUACAAGAACUUAAAAAAUUUUAAUAAGGUUUUUUUAGUAUUUGAGGUUAAUUUUUCUUGUAUCAUUCUUUAUUAUCCGGAUUUUAAUUGGAAACUGAAUCCUAUUGCUGUAUUAUAAUAUUUGAAGACAGAAUGCAACAGCAACAGCAAACUCUUCUCGUGCACUCAUCGAAAGAAAAAAGUUUUCUUCUUCUUCUUUUACUCUCCCCUUUUACUUCUUGUUGGUUGAUGCAAAUGCAGUGGCCAGGAAUAGAGAGGAAUAAGAUGAGAGACGAAGGGUGAGGAGGAGGAGGGUGAGAGGAGACAGGCAAAGUUAACGGCAAGAGGAGAAGUGGAGGAAAAGGAGAAAUGAAGAAGAAGAAGAAGAGGAAGAAGAAGAAGAUUUAAAAAAAGAAAAUAAAAAAGUACCAUCCAGGAGGAACUGGAUGUACCGCUCAAGGACACGAUCUACCUCAACGGCCAGUCUCGUGACGAGGAUGUAUACUAAGAGGGAGAGAAGGUGGAGGAGGAGGGUGGAAGUCGCCAGACGAGGAAUGAACAAGAUAAGAUGAAGAAGAAUAAGAAUAAGAAGAAGAAGAAAUAAUCGAAAAAUAAGUCAAAUAAAAAAGAUCACGUUCACGUUCACAUUCACAAAAGCAGAAUAAGAAUAAGAAUAAAAAUAAGGGAUUGAAUUCUAGGAAUCGUGCCGAAGAAACGUCGUGGGAUAUCGAAAGAAGGAAUGACUGAAGAAUAAGAAUAAGAAGAAGAUUCCUUUGUUCGUUUGCUACGUGCUCGAUAAAUUAAUGGGUUGGAAGGAGUACGUAAUCCGUAUGUAAAACGUGAGUUAUAUGCUAAUGUUCAUCAUUAAUACUUUUUUUUUUUUAUUUCUCUAUUAGUUAGCUUGUAUUUUAACAUGAAUUUUAACAUCAAUCGUUUAAACUCUUUCCUUGUUUUUUAUUUGCUUUUUUUUACAAAACUUUGACGAACAUCAGGUUGCAUUUUUAUCGUGCAUGUAUAAGUAUGUAAUAUAAAAUGGUCUUUGUCAGGAUAAAGAAAUUAAAAUCCCGUGUAGAAUGAUUCGUAUUCGCGUGUUUCAAAGAAUUCAUACGUGUAUCAUUGUAUUUAACCCUUUCAGUGCAAUAUC